UGGGGGGGUGCCGACUUUUGGCCGUGCCUCAGCCUCGUCCCCUGUUGGAGGCAAUAUUGACUUAAGGAAGGAGGCAUGGAGCAUACUUGGCGUGGGUGUUCCGAGUUAAAAAUUGUCAGUCUGGGCAAACAGACCUUUGGGGUGAUGGCCAGGAAAGCCGAGUGGCUGCACUGCAUUAUUGCUGCUCCUUUCAGAGCACGCUGUGACCUGGUGCUGCUCUGAGCGCCGAGUACCCGGCUCGGCGGGUUUGGAGAAGCGCUGCAGGUUUUGGAGCACUGCCUAGUCAGGAGAAUAACCAGUACCUGGCAGAUGUCAGCCACGUGUUCUACAAAAGCUGCUGUUCACUGGCAGGAGGCACCUGAUACACCUGGGUGAGAUCACAGUGCUGGCUGUGGUGGGGCUCUGCUGAGAGUAUGGAGGAACAGGGAAGUAAUAUCUCUAUUAAAAUACAAUAAAAUUCAA